CCUACGGUAGGCAGCAGUGGGGAAUAUUGGACAAUGGGGGAAACCCUGAUCCAGCGACGCCGCGUGAGUGAAGAAGUAUUUCGGUACGUAAAGCUCUAUCAGCAGGAAAGAAAAUGACGGUACCUGACUAAGAAGCCCCGGCUAACUACGUGCCAGCAGCCGCGGUAAUACGUAGGGGGCAAGCGGUCUCCGGAUUUACUGGGUGUUAAGGGAGCGUAGACGGCAGCGCAAGUCUGGAGUGAAAGGCCGGGGCUCAACCCCGGAACUGCUCUGGAAACUGUGAAGCUGGAGUGCAGGCGAGGGAAGCGGAAUUCCUGGUGUAGCGGUGAAAUGCGUAGAUAUCAGGAGGAACACCGGCGGCGAAGGCGGCUUACUGGACUGUAACUGACGUUGAGGCUCGAAGGCGUGGGGAGCAAACAGGAUUAGAUACCCGGGUAGUC
rnacentral:rRNA from 1 species